UGAACAGAAUCACGCGCUGUCUGUGUGGUUUCACUGUUACAAGUUUCUUGGCGAUAUGGGGGGAAAGUUCCUCACAUACCAACGGAAAAUGGGCUUCACAUACAUGCUGCUGUCUCAUAAUAUGGCGAAGACGAGUCACCUGAAGGCCUAACUCGCCAUAGAAGACUGAAAGAAUUGUCCUGCAGGAUGCUGUGUCCUGCAAUCCUGUGUGCUGUGCUACAGACGCGUGUGGAGGUCAACCCAAAAUGGGCACAGUCUCACCACAGAAGAGUGAAAGAGGAUCCUGGCAGGGAGACGGUAGUGUCCUGCAGAAUGGUGAUGGGCCAAUCUUACAAGAGACCACAGAAAACUGAUAUAGUGAACUAUAGAAACAGAGUGCCUGCUGCAGUAUGGCGAGGACACCCUGAGCAGAGAGCUCCAAUAGACCCAGGUCCAGUGUCUUGGCAGGGUGAAAUGGCACUGAUAUGGUGUCCUGCAGGAUGCUGUGUCCUGCAAUUCUGUGUGCUGUGCUACAGACGCGUCUGGAAGCCAACCUGAAAUAACCACAGUCUCUCCACAGAGGAGUGAAAGAGGCUCCCAGAAGUGAGACUGAGUGCCUGUUGCAGUAUGACGAGGACACAGUGACCAGAGACCUUCAGUAGACCCUUCUGGCAUGAUUGGCGGCUGAAGAACAUGAAAUCAACAGCAAUGUUUAUAAUGUUGUACAUACCUGUAUAGUCUGUAUUAAA